CCCUUAGACGUUCUGGGCCGCACACGCGCUACACUGAAGGAGGCAGCGUGUACUCCUGGAUCGAAAGAUUUGGGUAACCCGCGAAUCUCCUUCGUGCUAGGGAUUGAGGUUUGCAAUUAUCCUUCAUGAACGAGGAAUUCCCAGUAAGUGCAAGUCAUAAGCUUGCGCUGACUACGUCCCUGCCCUUUGUACACACCGCCCGUCGCUACUACCGAUUGAAUGAUUUAGUGAGGACUUCGGACUGGGACCGAUGCGGCUUUCGGGCUGCGUCGGUAUUCUGGAAAGAUGUCCAAACUGUAUCAUUUAGAGGAAGUAAAANUCGUAACA
rnacentral:rRNA from 1 species